ACUGAGUGUGCUCAGUCUUUUGAUGAACGCCAUCGCCCUCUGCAGGGUGACCUGCUUCCUGCGGCGGAUCAACAAGGUGUCCAGACAACGCAGCAAGAUGAUGAUGUCAUCAUUAGGCGCCCCUGGGUCAGACGGAGCAGUUUCAUGUUUAACGGUUUUCACACGUUCACGCUAUCAAAGAGCAAUAAGCUUAGAGAAUAUUCUGGUUCUCUGGCUCUGUUAACAAUUAAAUAAUAAACAUUAGAAUCAGGAUUUAUGAGGCUAGCUCAGUGAACUGGAAGGUUAUGAUUUAAAUGAACUCUUAGGUUUCUAUUGUAUUAGCAUAGUGUGUGUGUGUCUGGGUUAGGGUUAGACUUCCACUCUUCAACUAAUCGACAAACUGCCUAUUCCACAUUAACGUUGUCGUUUAUCUCUGCUUCACUGUCUGUGUGUGUGUGGGGGGGCGGGGUGUGUGAGUGUAAACUCCGCCCCAGGAUAUGACAUCACAGCUGUGAACUGACCUGCGUGUAGCCGCGGCAGCAUCCAGUAGAGCUGAGAGUAGAAGGAUGGUGAAGACGGUCUGGAUGCAGUGAAGACUCUCCCGAUUGGUCCGAUCCUGCAGAGAUGACAUCAUCAAUCACUUAUUGAUCGAUCGGUUUCUGACACCGGACUAAUGGCUCAGUAAGGGGCGAGGCCAAAGUGAAUACUCACUCCUGAUUGGAUGAGGUUCUGCAGCACGUUGAUCCCUCCAGUACGGCAGGAAGAAGAACAGACCCCUGAGCUUUCUUCAAAAUCCUGAAGUAGAUGAGGAAGACGAUGUUCAGAGUCUCUGUGUGCUGAGGAAGAGGAGGAAGAGCAAGAGUAUGGUGCAGUGGGCGGGGCCUCACCUGCUUGGCGGGGUCAUUCAUCAGCGGCACGAGGACGACCACGAUGUUGUUGUGGAAGUUGAAGUGCGGCAGAGCGAGCAGCAGCUCACACAGACAACGAACCGACACGUGGGCGAGACUCUGGUACGACUGCAGACUCACAACCUGCGAACGCUUCUUCUUCUGCUGCUUCCAGUCUGACAGCACAACACACAGGCAGUGCUCAACUGGAUUUAGGUCCGAGGAACGUGAGGGUCAGUCAAUGGGGGCCCUGCACCGGGAGGAACCCAGGGGCCACUGUACAAGGAGGAACCCAGGGGCCCUGCACCGGGAGGAACCCAGGGGCCACUGUACAAGG